GAUGAACGCUGGCGGCGUGCUUAACACAUGCAAGUCGAACGAUGAAGCCCAGCUUGCUGGGUGGAUUAGUGGCGAACGGGUGAGUAACACGUGAGUAACCUGCCCUUAACUCUGGGAUAAGCCUGGGAAACUGGGUCUAAUACCGGAUAGGAGCGCCUACCGCAUGGUGGGUGUUGGAAAGAUUUAUCGGUUUUGGAUGGACUCGCGGCCUAUCAGCUUGUUGGUGAGGUAAUGGCUCACCAAGGCGACGACGGGUAGCCGGCCUGAGAGGGUGACCGGCCACACUGGGACUGAGACACGGCCCAUACUCCUACGGGAGGCAGCAGUGGGGAAUAUUGCACAAUGGGCGAAAGCCUGAUGCAGCGACGCCGCGUGAGGGAUGACGGCCUUCGGGUUGUAAACCUCUUUCAGUAGGGAAGAAGCGAAAGUGACGGUACCUGCAGAAGAAGCACCGGCUAACUACGUG
rnacentral:rRNA from 1 species